rnacentral:rRNA from 1 species
AUUGAACGCUGGCGGAAUGCUUUACACAUGCAAGUCGAACGGUAGAGGGGGCAACCCCUCGAGAGUGGCGAACGGGUGAGUAAUAUAUCGGAACGUGCCCAGUCGUGGGGGAUAACGUAGCGAAAGUUACGCUAAUACCGCAUACGAUCUAAGGAUGAAAGCGGGGGACCGUAAGGCCUUGCGCGAUUGGAGGGGCUGAUGUCAGAUUAGGUAGUUGGUGGGGUAAAGGCUCACCAAGCCGACGAUCUGUAGCUGGUCUGAGAGGACGACCAGCCACACUGGGACUGAGACACGGCCCAGACUCCUACGGGAGGCAGCAGUGGGGAAUUUUGGACAAUGGGCGCAAGCCUGAUCCAGCCAUUCCGCGUGCAGGACGAAGGCCUUCGGGUUGUAAACUGCUUUUGUACGGAACGAAAAGGCCCUGGUUAAUACCUGGGGCUCAUGACGGUACCGUAAGAAUAAGCACCGGCUAACUACGUGCCAGCAGCCGCCGUAAUAC